AGCCGGCCAUCUGAGGCGUUUACUGGAGACGGUCCCCGGGCGCUGAGGCUAUGAGCCCCCGGGAGGUGCUGGGCCAGGCGGCUCGGCUGGCCUCCUCUGGUCUCCUCCUGCAGGUGUUGUUUCGAUUGAUCACCUUUGUCUUAAAUGCAUUUAUUCUUCGCUUCCUGUCAAAGGAAAUCGUUGGCAUAGUGAAUGUCAGGCUAACACUGCUUUACUCUACCACCAUCUUCCUGGCCAGAGAGGCCUUCCGCAGAGCAUGUCUGAGUGGCAGCACCCAGCGGGACUGGAGCCAGACCCUCAACCUCCUGUGGCUAACAGUCCCUUUGGGUGUGUUUUGGUCCGUGUUCCUGGGGUGGGCCUGGCUACAAUUGCUCGCAGUGCCCGAUCCUGACGUCAUCCCCCACUAUGGAACUGGAGUGGUGUUGUUUGGGUUCUCGGCAGUGGUGGAACUUCUGGGAGAGCCCUUCUGGGUCUUGGCACAAGCACAUAUGUUUGUCAAGCUUAAGGUGAUUGCUGAGAGCCUGUCAGUAAUCCUCAAGAGCGUCCUGACAGCUUUUCUCGUGGUGUGUUUGCCUCACUGGGGACUGUAUAUUUUCUCUUUGGCCCAGCUUUUCUAUACUGCAGUUCUGGUGCUCUGCUAUGUUAUUUAUUUCACAAAGUUACUGGGCUCCCCAGAAUCAGCCAAGCAACAAGUUCUUCCUGUCUCCAGAAUGACAGAUCUGUUACCCACUAUUACGAGAAGUAGAGCUUUUGUAAAUUGGGAAGAGGCUAAAUUGACUUGGAGUUUCUUCAAACAGUCUUUCUUGAAACAGAUUUUGACAGAAGGCGAGCGAUAUGUGAUGACAUUUUUGAACGUGUUAAAUUUUGGGGAUCAGGGCGUGUAUGAUAUAGUGAAUAAUCUUGGCUCCCUUGUGGCCAGAUUAAUUUUCCAGCCAAUAGAAGAGAGUUUUUAUAUAUUCUUUGCUAAGGUGCUGGAGAGAGAAAAGGAUGCUACACUUCAGAAGCAGGAGGAUGUUGCUGUGGCCGCCGCGGUUUUGGAGUCCCUGCUAAAGCUGGCCCUGCUCACUGGCCUGACCAUCUCUGUUUUCGGCUUUGCCUAUUCUCAACUGGCUUUGGACAUCUAUGGAGGGGCCAUGCUUAGCUCAGGAUCAGGUCCUGUCCUGCUGCGUGCCUAUUGUCUUUACGUCCUCCUGCUUGCCAUCAAUGGAGUGACCGAAUGUUUCACAUUUGCUGCCAUGAGCAAAGAGGAGGUUGACAGGUACAAUUUCACAAUGCUGGGCCUCUCAUCUUCGUUCCUGCUGUUAUCCUAUCUCCUGACCCAUUGGUGUGGCAGCGUGGGCUUCAUCUUGGCCAAUUGCUUCAACAUGGGCAUUCGGAUCACACAGAGCCUUUGCUUCAUCCACCGCUACUACCGGAAGAGUCCCCACAAGCCCCUGGCUGGCCUGUUCCUGUCACCAGUCCUCCUCGGGGCAUUUGCCCUCAGUGGUGGCAUUACUGCUGUUUCCGAGGUGUUCCUCUGCUGUGAGCGGGGCUGGCCAGCCAUGCUGGUGCACGUCGCUGUGGGGGCCCUCUGUUUGGGAGUGACUCUUGGGACAGCAUUCCUCACAGAGACCAAGCUGAUCCACUUUCUUAGGACUCAGUUGGGUGUGUCCAGACUCACUGACAAAACGACGUGACCUCGCGGAAGCCCUGUGGCACCUGGACCAGCUGUGGGGCAGUUUUAUGGUGGAACAUGUUUUUUAUGCAGAAGAGCCAAGUUAGGGGUCUGUAGUGGAGUGAGACCAACACACAGAAUGAAAUAGGGUAAAUUCUAUAUGGCAUGUGUCACUGAAUCACACCCUUCUCCCGCUGACCUGUUACUUCCAGCACUGGUCAGUACACCGGAAUUCCAGCCCCAGGACAAGACUGGCAGGCCUGCAGAUCUGGUCCUUCAGGCUACAGUGUGAGCCCAGGCUAAGGCUUGCCUCCCUGCCCUGCACCCAGCAGGUGCUGUUCUCAGGCAGCAAAGCAUUCUUCUUCUUUCAUUAAUGUGUUACUAUAUUAACUGAUGUAAUGUAUUAAUUAAUUAGAUGUGAUUGACCUUCGGAGCUACAUGCACAGACUAUAUCUUGGGUGGUAAUAGCUAGUAAUCAUCUAGCCCCGACGUCCCCAAACUUUCUAUGUUUACACCCAGAGAGCAGGAUAGCUUGUAUCAGAUGGCAGUUUGGCUGAAAUGCACACAUUUAAAUCCACUGGCCUAGAGCCAAAGCCAAGAGGCCAAGGAUAAAGACCCACCCAGUGCACCAAGACUAGGACCCAGUCACCUGGACACCUUUCUAUCUAUUCAAGGAGAGAAUGCUUCGUAUUAAUUGCAGGGAAAGUAGCUAAAUGCAAGGUGUCACUGAACAAUCAGAGGCCCUCCAGAAUCAUGGGCUUGGUCA